rnacentral:rRNA from 1 species
GACGAACGCUGGCGGCGUGCUUAACACAUGCAAGUCGAGCGGUAAGGCCCUUUCGGGGGUACGACGAGCGGCGAACGGGUGAGUAACACGUGGGUGACCUGCCCUUAGCUCUGGGAUAAGCCUGGGAAACUGGGUCUAAUACCGGAUAUGACUCCAUGACGCAUGUUGUGGGGUGGAAAGCCUUGUGCGGCUAGGGAUGGGCCCGCGGCCUAUCAGCUUGUUGGUGGGGUGAUGGCCUACCAAGGCGACGACGGGUAGCCGGCCUGAGAGGGCGACCGGCCACACUGGGGCUGAGACACGGCCCAGACUCCUACGGGAGGCAGCAGUGGGGAAUCUUGCGCAAUGGGCGAAAGCCUGACGCAGCGACGCCGCGUGGGGA